GACGAACUGUCAGCAAGUUGUUCGGAAUCACUGGGCGUAAAGGGUGCGUAGGCGGGUCUUUAAGUCAGAGGUGAAAUCCUGGAGCUCAACUCCAGAACUGCCUUUGAUACUGGCGAUCUCGAGUCCGGGAGAGGUGAGUGGAACUGCGAGUGUAGAGGUGAAAAUUCGUAGAUAUUCGCAAGAACACCAGUGGCGAAGGCGGCUCACUGGCCCGGUACUGACGCUGAGGUGCGAAAGCGUGGGGAGCAAACAGG
rnacentral:rRNA from 1 species